rnacentral:rRNA from 1 species
GAUGAACGCUGGCGGCAUGCCUAACACAUGCAAGUCGGACGGGAAGUGCUGUUUCCAGUGGCGGCCGGGUGAGUAACGCGUAAGAACCUGCCCUUGGGAGGGGAACAACAACUGGAAACGGUUGCUAAUACCCCGUAGGCUGAGGGGCAAAAGGAGGAAUCCGCCCGAUGAGGGGCUUGCGUCUGUUUAUCGAGUGUGUGAGGUAAUAGCGUACCAAGGCGAUAAGCACUAGCUGGUCCGAGAGAAUGAUCCGCCACACGGGGGCAGAGACACGGCCCAGAGACCCACGGGGGAGGGCGGUGUGGGAAAUUCCGGAAUAGGGGAGAGACUGACGUAGAAAUGCGGCGUGUAAGUAGAAGGGCCACUAGUCUUGAACAGCUUUUCUCGGAGGAGAAACAAUGACGGUAUCGGAAGAAUAAGCAUCGGCUAACUCUGUG